GUGGGGAAUCUUCCGCAAUGGACGAAAGUCUGACGGAGCAACGCCGCGUGAGUGAUGAAGGUCUUCGGAUUGUAAAGCUCUGUUAAUCGGGACGAAAGAGCCUAGUGUGAAUAAUGCUAGGAAGUGACGGUACCGGAAUAGAAAGCCACGGCUAACUACGUGCCAGCAGCCGCGGUAAUACGUAGGUGGCAAGCGUUGUCCGGAAUUAUUGGGCGUAAAGCGCGCGCAGGCGGAUCUGCCAGUCUGUCUUAAAAGUUCGGGGCUUAACCCCGUGAUGGGAUGGAAACUACAGACCUAGAGUAUCGGAGAGGAAAGUGGAAUUCCUAGUGUAGCGGUGAAAUGCGCAGAUAUUAGGAAGAACACCAGUGGCGAAGGCGACUUUCUGGACGAAAACUGACGCUGAGGCGCGAAAGCCAGGGGAGCGAACGGGAUUAGAUACCCGAGUAGUCC
rnacentral:rRNA from 1 species